AAAAUAACCAUGAUUCCCUCAGUAAUGGCGAAUGAAGCGGGAAAAGCUCAAAUUUGAAAUCUGGCAGCAUUUCUUUUGCUGUCCGAGUUGUAAUUUCAAGAAGCUGCUUUGAGUGUACACGAUUCACCUAAGUUCCUUGGAACAGGACGUCAUAGAGGGUGAGAACCCCGUCUUUGGUGAAUUGGGCGUAUGCCGGAUAAAGCGCUUUCGAAGAGUCGAGUUGUUUGGGAAUGCAGCUCUAAAUGGGUGGUAAAUUUCAUCUAAAGCUAAAUAUUGGCGAGAGACCGAUAGCGAACAAGUAGAGUGAUCGAAAGAUGAAAAGAACUUUGAAAAGAGAGUUAAAUAGUACGUGAAAUUGCUGAAAGGACGAAGCAUUGGAAACCAGUCUUACCUGGGUGAGAUCAGUUGUCUUUUCGCAAGACAAUGCACUCUGAACCUGUGGUAGGUCAGCAUCAGUUUCCGGGGGUGGAAAAAGAAUUUAGGAAGGUACCUUUUCGGGUUCUGCUCGAAGAGGGUUUAUAGCCUAGAUUGUAAUACAUCCACUGGGGACUGAGGACUGCGGCUUUUUUAAAGUCAAGGAUGCUGACAUAAUGGUUUUCAAUGAC
rnacentral:rRNA from 1 species